UUUCGAAUCAUUCACAAUGGGCGAAAGCCUGAUGGUGCGACGCCGCGUGAGGGAUGAAGGCCUCUGGGCUGUAAACCUCUUUUCUCAAGGAAGAAGAUCUGACGGUACUUGAGGAAUAAGCCACGGCUAAUUCCGUGCCAGCAGCCGCGGUAAUACGGGAGUGGCAAGCGUUGUCCGGAAUUAUUGGGCGUAAAGAGCUCGUAGGUGGUUCGAUACGUCGGAUGUGAAAAUCAGGGGCUCAACCCCUGACCUGCAUCCGAUACGGUCGAGCUAGAGUUUGGUAGGGGAGACUGGAAUUCCUGGUGUAGCGGUGAAAUGCGUAGAUAUCGGGAAGAACACCAGUGGCGAAGGCGCUCUGCUGGGCCAUAACUGACGCUCAUGGACGAAAGCCAGGGGAGCG
rnacentral:rRNA from 1 species